GCCGGCGCGGUGACGCGUGCCUGUAGUCCCAGCUACUCGGGAGGCUGAGGCCGGAGGAUCGCUUGAGUCCAGGAGUUCUGGGCUGUUGUGCGCUAUGCCGAUCGGGUGUCCGCACUAAGUUCGGCAUCAAUAUGGUGACCUCCCCGGAGCGGGGGACCACCAGGUUGCCUAAGGAGGGGUGAACCGGCCCAGGUCGGACACGGAGCAGGUCAAAACUCCCGUGCUGAUCAGAAAUGCGAUUACACCAAGAUCCACAUUCAUGGCCACGGCAGCUGCCCAGAUGGCAGGGCACAGAACAGCACCUUCU
ensembl:misc_RNA Metazoa_SRP Metazoan signal recognition particle RNA